rnacentral:rRNA from 1 species
AACGAACGCUGGCGGCGUGCUUAACACAUGCAAGUCGAACGGUGACGCGCCAUCCUUUUUGGUGGGUGUGGAUGAGUGGCGAACGGGUGAGUAACACGUUCGUAACCUGCCCCCUUCUUCUGGAUAACCGCAUGAAAGUGUGGCUAAUACGGGAUAUUCUGGGUCUGUCGCAUGAUGGGUCUGGGAAAGAUAUUGUUUCGGUGGGGGAUGGGCUCGCGGCGUAUCAGCUAGGGGGCGGGGUGAUGGCCUACCAAGGCGGCGACGGGUAGCCGGUCUGAGGGGCUGAUGAGCAACACGGGGACUGAGACACGGUCCAGACUCCUACGGGAGGCAGCAGUGGGGAAUAUUGGACGAUGGGGGCGAGCCUGAUGCAGCCAUACCGCGUGGGUGAAGAAGGCCUUCUGGUUGUGAAGCCCUUUUGUUGGGAAAGAAAAGCAGCAGGUUAAUAACCCGAUGUUCUGACGGUACCCAAAGAAUAAGCACCGGCUAACUUCGUG